GCCGAGCAACUCCUACGGGAGGCAGCAGUGGGGAAUAUUGCACAAUGGGCGCAAGCCUGAUGCAGCCAUGCCGCGUGUAUGAAGAAGGCCUUCGGGUUGUAAAGUACUUUCAGCAGUGAGGAAGGUGGGUAUGUUAAUAGCAUACUCAUUUGACGUUAGCUGCAGAAGAAGCACCGGCUAACUCCGUGCCAGCAGCCGCGGUAAUACGGAGGGUGCGAGCGUUAAUCGGAAUUACUGGGCGUAAAGCGCAUGCAGGUGGUUUGUUAAGUCAGAUGUGAAAGCCCGGGGCUCAACCUCGGAAUUGCAUUUGAAACUGGCAAACUAGAGUACUGUAGAGGGGGUAGAAUUUCAGGUGUAGCGGUGAAAUGCGUAGAGAUCUGAAGGAAUACCGGUGGCGAAGGCGGCCCCCUGGACAGAUACUGACACUCAGAUGCGAAAGCGUGGGGAGCAAACAGGAUUAGAUACCCUGGUAG
rnacentral:rRNA from 1 species